GCCUAACCUAACAUGCAAUUAAAACACUAAUUGCUCGCCAAAUAACUACGAGUAAAAACUUAAAAUUUAAAAGACUUGACGGUACUUCACACCGCCCUAGAGGAGCCUGUCUAAUAACCGACACCCCACGAUUAACCCAACCCACCCUAGCCCAACAGUCUAUAUACCGCCAUCGCCAGCUCACCUUGUAAAAGAAACAUAGCGAGCCCAAAAGCAUCCACCACUAACACGAUAGGUCGAGGUGUAACUAAUGGGUGGGAUCAGAUGGGCUACAUUUUCUAAUAUAGAAAAUACGAAUAGACUAUGAAAGUAGAAACCGAAGGAGGAUUUAGCAGUAUGUUGAGGACAAAAUGCUCAACCGAAAUAAACGCAAUGAAGUGCGUACACACCGCCCGUCAUCCCUGCCUAAACAUUAAUAAACUCUAUAAAUCAACAUAACCAACAAACAGGGCAAGUCGUAACAUGGUAAGCGUACUGGAAAGUGCGCUUAGAAA
rnacentral:rRNA from 1 species